rnacentral:lncRNA from 1 species
UUAAGUCUAGGGUUUUCUAAAUCAGCCUCUUUUCAUUCAUCGCCUUCAUCCCUAACCAUCUCAAAGAUGUUCCCUCUUUGGGAUAACAAGAAGUUCUGCCUCGGCAUGUUAUGGAUCAAUGUUAAAUUCUUCUCCUUGCAUCCUUGUUUAUCAACUAAAUAAGAGUAAGUCUUCUCUAUUUUCCUUACUUCCUUGUUCAUGCGCCUGUUUCAGCUGACCAAAGUGUUGUUGCAGUUUUUUGUUAUUUGAUUUGUUGGAUUAUUCUUGUGCGUUACUUCUAGAUCUGAUCUCAAGGAAGGAUGCUUAAUCAUUAGGUUGGUGAUUUCUACUUCUUUUUUCUCAUUUUUGCCCUCAUCUUUGAUUUCUUUGUUUCUGCUACCUUACACGUGGUUCUUGAAUGGAGUGCAUGGGUAGCUUCUUUCCACCUCCUCAUACUAGUGAUUAAAGCUUCUUCCGGGUUAGAGCGUCUUCAUCUGACUUAGAUCCUCCUAUUUCGUCGAGUCCUUUUUGCUAGCUGAAAAUAGCCUAGUCUAAAUAAUGUUUCACAUUGUGUCUUUUGUAAAUGAUGUAUAUCUGAAAAUAAAAUAAAAAAACCUAUGUUGUAGCUUUUCCUCCCCCAUUAUCUCCUUAUCGGUGAUACUUUUAGAUAUAGACUUUUAAAUUUGUCGCUAUAGUUAGUGGCGGGACCAACAUUUUUUGUCAAGGGUGUUAUUUUUAUGACAGGAUGUGGAUUAAAUUUUUUAACCAAAAUUAAAAAAAUAGUAAUUAUAUUUUAAUCAUAAAAGGAGAAAGUCAAACACUAAAUGAUAUCAUUGGCUUGUUUUGAUUAAUAAAAAGGAACUUUUUAUUUUUUUAACAAUAAAAGAGAGUUUUUCAUUUCUUUUUCAACAAAAAAAGAGGACCUUUGUUAAAGUGAAAAAAAAAACUAAAUAUAGUUGUAGGAGCCUAGGGUCGUACCCAGACCUCCAAGGGAAAUUUGCAUAGCUUUAGCCACUGAGCUAUCUCUCUCUUUUGUGUCAAGGGUGUUCAACAAUUAGUAUAUAUUUAACAAUAUCUAUAUUUAAUCUAUUUUUUAAAAAAAAAAUCGCCGAAAGGUGUUCAUCUGACCAUCCUUGGGUUUGUGUAGUUCUUCCCCUGUUUAUAAUUCUUCCUCCUUUCGCAUCCAUGCUUUGAAAAUAUAUGUGAAUAUGCAAUUUCCUUUUUUUUAGAGUCAUGUUUGCCAAGUAGUCUGUAAGUUGAUUCUCUUCCCUCAUUAUAUGAUGAAAUCUAUAUUGUUUACCUUGUAACCAGUCCCUAAUUUUUUCAACGGCUUCGUUUAUUAUCCACGGAAUUACUAAAUAGUACUCCUAUUUAUUGAAAUGACAAAAGCCAGAAAUUGCAUAUGAAAGAUGAUUGAUAAAUAUAACAAAUAUAACUUUCAUACCAAGAAUAAAUUUGCAUAUGAUGUAAUUUUUUUUUUUCUAAUUUUGAUGCCUUCAUUGUAUAUUUCAAUGAUGUUGCUCUUCAACGUGAUUUAAAUGAUAUUCUCAAUCUCAUGGUAAUUAGAAGUUAUGUAUGUGAGAUUUUGGGUGAAGAGCUCCUUGAACCUCUUUACAAUGUUAAAUAUUAGUCAUAAUUUUGGCUAAUAAACUAUAAAAUUGUUUUUUUUUUAAAGCUAAGGACUAUUAUUUUAUUCUCUUUGAAUAAUUAUAUUUGAAAGAAAAUCUGUAAGCUAUUUCUCAUUAUUUUUUUGCAUAGUGGUGUUUUAAGGAAAAUUUCUCAUUAUUUCCUUUGUUAAGGUAUUAUACUUUAUUUUAGCUGCUAAGGACCUAGAAGUAACAAUACAUGUUAGGAUAUAACUAAAUUAUCCUCAACUUUAAGAGUGUCAUCCUUAAGAAAUAAGAAGUGACCAGUGAUCAAUGUGCCUCUAACAUAUAAUUUUUUAAUGAUAGAAUUAAGUUCUUAAGAAAGUAUGCAGAUGCAAUAUAAUGAAGACUUAUAUAUACAUAGAAGUGUAAAAGAAGCAUAUUUUUGUUAGUAACUAUAAUCUAUAUUUUUUUCUACUUACAAAGAAGAAUUGAGAUGGAGGAGGAAAGAUUGGAGCGACUUCUUUUGUACGGCUUCAAAAUAUGAAUAGAGAUUUUGGCUUUAAAAAUUAGUAAGAACGUUUUUCUGAUACUAUUACUUUAUACUUUUUUGUAUUGGUUGCAAAUGUUUCCUAUAAUAUUAUUUUUUUCAUACCUUAAACAUGCACGUCUUAUGUAUCACUAUGAUUUAGAGAACAUAAUAGUCCUUAUCCGUUAUUAUAACAUGAAUGGACUUAUAAUUAAUUGGUUCAAGUGUUGAAAAGAAGAUCAAGUAUUAUUGAACUCUGAGUUCCAAGAAUUUUGAUUUUCUUUAUUAUUUAAAUAAGAGUCAACAUUAACUCUUUCUAAAUUCAGCUUCACAAAGUUAUGUUGCUUCCUAUUUAAAAAGUGAAGAUCAGAAUCCUUGUUAACCCAUAGUUCAAUAGCACCCAAUAUUCUCUAAAAUGCUUAAACCAACACUAGUUCAUCCAUAUUAUAAUGAAUAAGAACAAUUUUCUUCUCUAGUUCAAAAGAACACGUAAGAUUGACAUGUUUAAGACAUGAAAAUUUUUGUUAUUGAAAACAUUUGCAAUUGACUCAGAAAAGUGUAAGUCGUAGUAGCAGAAAAAUCAAUUUUGCUAAUAUGUAUCCAUAGGCGAAACUCAUAAACAGGCCUCUAAACUUGAUGGAUUUUUCCCCUUCGAGUACCUUCACUAUGCUAUUUUCCUAUUGAAUCUUGAACCACCCAUAAUUUGCUCCUUUUAAAUAUUGUUGGCUAAUGUGGCACAAAAUGUGAUCUCAUGUCGUUUGAGCGCGUGAAGACGUUUUGAAGGCGCUGAUGUGGAUCCCUGAACCACCCACCAACGAUCUUCUUACCCUUUUAACCCUAAUUUCUCCCUUUUUCUCUUAUUUCUCCUCUUUUCUUUCUCUUCAUCAUUAAGUUGGAGCUACUCAUCAAAAUAUAUCUCUUCUUCAUUGAUUUCUUCAUAAUCACCAAGUUCCAAUGUCGAAGUUAUCUUGUUCAUCGAUUUCUUCUUCUUCAACUGCAAAUGUGCUAUGUCAAUGUGGGGUUGUUGUGGAAAUGAAGAUCUCAUGGACGCAAUCCAACCCUGGACGUAGGUUCCUUUGUUGCAGAAUUUCAAAG